rnacentral:rRNA from 1 species
CCUACGGGUGGCUGCAGUGGGGAAUCUUGCGCAAUGGGCGAAAGCCUGACGCAGCGACGCCGCGUGAGUGAUGAAGGCCUUCGGGUUGUAAGGCUCUGUGGAGGGAGACGAAUAAGGGUUGGCUAACAUCCAGCUCGAUGACGGUAUCCCUUUAGCAAGCACCGGCUAACUCUGUGCCAGCAGCCGCGGUAAGACAGAGGGUGCAAACGUUGUUCGGAAUUUCUGGGCGUAAAGGGCGUUUGGGCUGGAAAGCCCUGGGCUCAACCUAGGAAGUGCAUUCGAAACUUCCGAGCUGGAGUGCUGGAGAGGAAGGCGGAAUUCUCGGUGUAGAGGUGAAAUUCGUAGAUAUCGAGAGGAACACCGGUGGCGAAGGCGGCCUUCUGGACAGCUACUGACGCUGAGACGCGAAAGCGUGGGGAGCAAACAGGAUUAGAUACCCGAGUAGUC